UACGGGGGGGGCAAGCGUUGUUCGGAAUUACUGGGCGUAAAGGGCUCGUAGGCGGCCAUUUAAGUCAGAGGUGAAAGCCCGGUGCUCAACAUCGGAAUAGCCUUUGAGACUGGGUGGCUAGAAUCCAGGAGAGGUGAGUGGAAUUCCGAGUGUAGAGGUGAAAUGCGUUGAUAUCGGAAGGAACGCCGGUGGCGAAAGCGAACUGCUGGACCUCUACUGACGCUGAGGCGCGAAAGCCAGGGGAGCAAACGGG
rnacentral:rRNA from 1 species